ACACCAUCAAGCAGAUCUAUAAUAGUGGAGGAACCCUUUCUGCUUACCUGGUGAUGCUGACCGGCCGAGAGGAGCAGGAGAGAACACACGGACAGGUGAACCACUGAGCAAACACUGGAGGAGAAACACACAGAGAGGCUGUGAUUGCGGUGCAGGUCAGUGUAAUCCUGCAGAGUGUAUCUGCGGUGGAGUGUGAUGCUGAGCAUGGAAACCCUACAGAUGUAGAAAUCCUGCUUCAGCUUGCUCUCCUCGCUUCAUUUAACAGUAGUGGUGGGCAAAGUGACGCUUCAUGAAACUGAAACAGUUGAAGCAAAUGUGUCAAAGCUUUGA